rnacentral:lncRNA from 1 species
AACAAAAAACAACAAAAUUUUAUUUUGAAAAAUUACGUUAUUACUCUUAAACUUUUUUAUUGUGAUAGAAGACUAAAUAGUUUUUUUACCCUUUAUUGGUUGACAAAACAAGUUUUAUUAAUAUGUAAUUUAUUUAGAUAAUGUCGACAAAUUUGGAAAGGUUGCCUAGAUGUGGAACGAAACAAAAACAUUUUAUUUAAAAAAAAUAAUGAAAUCUUAAGUUUGAUUUUUCGCCAAAAACGAAUUUGAAUCACAUUAUUGCUAACCUAUUAUGAGGUUACGCUCAUCCCUUUCCCUUAGUGUAGAAAAUAUCGUUUGUUAAAAAAAAAAUUAAUGAAAUCAUUUCAAAUUUAUAAUGAUACAUCCAAAUUAUGAGUGAGCUUCAAUUUGGUAUGGGAAAUUUAGAAAAUUACGAAGUUUUGGACCCUAUAUAGAAUUAUAAUCACCCCUUUAAUUUUAAGGAAACUAAUGAAAAGGGCUUGAAAACUUUGAGUUUUAAUGAUAAGGACAAAAUAAAGGGUAAAGUGAAUAGUACUAGGAUUGACUUUUUAGUGUAAAAAUGUGGUUUUUCAUUAAAGUGAACAGUACCGGGUGCUUUUCGUUAAAGUUCCCUUAAUUUUAUGAUGAUUACAACCAAAACUUGAUGUAAAAAUACAAACAUACCCUUAAUAGUAUGAUUUCUCACGACAACCAAAACACUACCUAUAAUACGGUAGAUUUGAAUAUAGAUGGAGAAAGCUUUCCAAAUUCCACUUUAUUUUUCGAAAAUUGGCGCCAAUUUGAGAAAUUAAUCUCUAUUACUUUUUGUUUUCAUUAUUAUAUGUAACCUUGAACUAGCUUUAGAUGUCUCAACCUUUAACUACAUCUUUGGAUGUCCGCAACCUUUAAACCAGAAUGAAAUCAUGAAUUAAAAAAAUAAAAAAUAAAAAAUAAAAAACAAAGUCUUUGAGAUUAAAUUAUUAGGCAGCUUGGUAAUUCAAAUAAGAUUCUAAAAUUGAUGGGUGAUUUGAACAAUGAAAUUGCAGCAAAGGUAAAAAUGUGAUUGUAUCCCUUUGCAAAAAUCCGAAAGGUUGCACAAAAUAGUUCAAAAGUUGUAGAGAAUAAUAAAAACAAAAAAGUGACAGAGAUUAAUUCCUCAUUUUAAGGUAGUUUAAAGGUUGUGUUUUGGUUGUUGUGAGAAACCCUAAUAUUAACGGUAUAUUAGUACUUUUACAUUAGUUUGAUUGUAAUUAUCAUAAAAUUAAAAAGAUGGCUAUAAUUCUAUAUAGGUGUUGUAGCCUAUUUUAUCUGACAAGGGGUAGGGGGCCAACAGCAAGGAGAAGAAAUAUUUGAGAGAGAUGUGUUUGUAGAAUUGUAGGGGAAUAUGUGUGUGUUAUCCCUUCUAUAUAGUGUCUUUAUUGAUAGUAGUAAAGGAGAGAAGAAAUUCCUUCAUCCCCAAGGAACACAAGUUGUAAUAGGAAAGGAUAACUAGAAUAAAAUAUAAUCUAGGAUUUACACAAUCACACUUAAACUAAGAAAGUUUACAACAC